rnacentral:tRNA from 1 species
AGACUUAGGAUAAAUAAACCAAGGGCCUUCAAAGCCCUAAACAAGAGCACCAACCUCUUAGCCUCUGCCU